rnacentral:rRNA from 1 species
AACUUUUAACAACGGAUCUCUUGGUUCUCGCAUCGAUGAAGAACGUAGCAAAGUGCGAUAACUAGUGUGAAUUGCAUAUUCAGUGAAUCAUCGAGUCUUUGAACGCAUCUUGCACUCAUUGGAAUUCCAAUGAGUACGCCUGUUUCAGUA